GAUGAACGCUGGCGGCGUGCCUAAUACAUGCAAGUCGAGCGAACAGACGAGGAGCUUGCUCCUCUGACGUUAGCGGCGGACGGGUGAGUAACACGUGGAUAACCUACCUAUAAGACUGGGAUAACUUCGGGAAACCGGAGCUAAUACCGGAUAAUAUAUUGAACCGCAUGGUUCAAUAGUGAAAGACGGUUUUGCUGUCACUUAUAGAUGGAUCCGCGCCGCAUUAGCUAGUUGGUAAGGUAACGGCUUACCAAGGCGACGAUGCGUAGCCGACCUGAGAGGGUGAUCGGCCACACUGGAACUGAGACACGGUCCAGACUCCUACGGGAGGCAGCAGUAGGGAAUCUUCCGCAAUGGGCGAAAGCCUGACGGAGCAACGCCGCGUGAGUGAUGAAGGUCUUCGGAUCGUAAAACUCUGUUAUUAGGGAAGAACAAAUGUGUAAGUAACUAUGCACGUCUUGACGGUACCUGAUCAGAAAGCCACGGCUAACUACGUG
rnacentral:rRNA from 1 species